CAGAUACAUUUAACAGGGCGAUGAAGGUAGGGAAAUCAUCAGUUUCAUUCCAACACUGAGUCAGACUGAGCUCUACUCUUCCCAGCUUCAAUGUGAUGAAGUGGCUGGUCCUGCCUGCGACCUCUAGGCUUCAAUUCAAAAAAGAAGGAAUCUACUUGCCCAUGAAGGCCGAGUGCAACAAUCUCCCCAGAUUGUGUUUCCAACUGAGACCAGCACGUCUAGCAUCCUGACUGGAUCUAUUGGCAAGUGCCUCCUUUGCCACAGGUUAGUUUUGAUAACUGGUGCAUAUAGCA
rnacentral:lncRNA from 11 species